rnacentral:rRNA from 1 species
UACGUAGGUGGCAAGCGUUGUCCGGAUUUACUGGGCGUAAAGAGCGCGCAGGCGGUCGUUCAAGUCGCGUGUGAAAGCCCCCGGCUCAACUGGGGAGGGUCACGCGAUACUGAUCGACUCGAAGGCAGGAGAGGGUAGUGGAAUUCCACGUGUAGCAGUGAAAUGCGUAGAGAUGUGGAGGAACACCGAUGGCGAAGGCAGCCCCCUGGGUUAACACUGACGCUCGAGGCACGAAAGCGUGGGGAGCAAACAGG